rnacentral:piRNA from 1 species
UCAUUUCAUUUAUGGGGUGUCUAGUGAUU